rnacentral:rRNA from 1 species
AUACGGAGGGUGCAAGCGUUAAUCGGAAUUACUGGGCGUAAAGUGUGCGUAGGUGGUUUGUUAAGUUAGAUGUGAAAGCCCCGGGCUCAACCUGGGAACUGCAUUUGAAACUGGCAUACUCGAGUAUAGGAGAGGAAAGUGGAAUUUCAGGUGUAGCGGUGAAAUGCGUAGAUAUCUGAAGGAACAUCAAUGGCGAAGGCAGCUUUCUGGACUAAUACUGACACUGAGGUACGAAAGCGUGGGUAGCAAACAGGAUUAGAAACCCCGGUAGUCC